rnacentral:rRNA from 1 species
AAUUGAAGCUUUGACUUAGUGGCGGACGGGUGAGUAACGCGUGAGGAACCUGCCUUUCAGAGGGGGACAACAGUUGGAAACGACUGCUAAUACCGCAUGACACAGCGAGAUCGCAUGGUCUUGCUGUCAAAGAUUUAUCGCUGAAAGAUGGCCUCGCGUCUGAUUAGAUAGUUGGUGAGGUAACGGCCCACCAAGUCGACGAUCAGUAGCCGGACUGAGAGGUUGAACGGCCACAUUGGGACUGAGAUACGGCCCAGACUCC